UUGUGUGUGAGGAGUAAGUUGAAAGUAAAAAAUGGCUGGGCUGGAAACACGGCAACACUCCGAGGCGUUUUUAUUU
rnacentral:sRNA from 1 species